rnacentral:rRNA from 1 species
GACGAACGCUGGCGGCGUGCCUAAUACAUGCAAGUCGACCUGAGUGGCGAACUGGUUAAUAACACGUGGGUAACCUGCGCAGCUAAAGAGGAUAACACUUGGAAACAGGUACUACAACCUGAAAAUGAUGGAUGGACCCGUUGUGCAUUAGCUAUUUGGUGGGGGAACGUCUCACCACGGCCACGAUGCAUAGCCGACCUGAGAGGGUGAUCGGCCACAUUGGGACUGAGACACGGCCCAAACUCCUACGUGAGGCAGCAGUAGGGAAUCUUCCGCAAUGGACGAAAGUCUGACCGAGCAACGCCGCGUGCGUGAAGAAGGUUUUCGGAUCGGAAAACUCUGUUGUUAGAGAAGCGGUAUCUAACCAGAAAGCCACGGCGAACUACGUGCCAGCAGCCGCGGUAAUAC